ACUUAAGCAUAUCAAUAAGCGGAGGAAAAGAAACCAACAGGGAUUGCCUUAGUAACGGCGAGUGAAGCGGCAAAAGCUCAAAUUUGAAAUCUGGCACCUUCGGUGUCCGAGUUGUAAUUUGAAGAAGGUAACUUUGGAGUUGGCUCUUGUCUAUGUUCCUUGGAACAGGACGUCACAGAGGGUGAGAAUCCCGUGCGAUGAGAUGCCCAAUUCUAUGUAAAGUGCUUUCGAAGAGUCGAGUUGUUUGGGAAUGCAGCUCUAAGUGGGUGGUAAAUUCCAUCUAAAGCUAAAUAUUGGCGAGAGACCGAUAGCGAACAAGUACAGUGAUGGAAAGAUGAAAAGAACUUUGAAAAGAGAGUGAAAAAGUACGUGAAAUUGUUGAAAGGGAAGGGCUUGAGAUCAGACUUGGUAUUUUGCGAUCCUUUCCUUCUUGGUUGGGUUCCUCGCAGCUUACUGGGCCAGCAUCGGUUUGGAUGGUAGGAUAAUGACUAAGGAAUGUGGCUCUACUUCGGUGGAGUGUUAUAGCCUUGGUUGAUACUGCCUGUCUAGACCGAGGACUGCGUCUUUUGACUAGGAUGUUGGCAUAAUGAUCUUAAGCCACCCGUCUUGAAACACGGACCAAGGAGUCUAACGUCUAUGCGAGUGUUUGGGUGUAAAACCCGUACGCGUAAUGAAAGUGAACGUAGGUGAGAGCUCUUAAGAGUGCAUCAUCGACCGAUCCUGAUGUCUUCGGAUGGAUUUGAGUAAGAGCAUAGCUGUUGGGACCCGAAAGAUGGUGAACUAUGCCUGAAUAGGGUGAAGCCAGAGGAAACUCUGGUGGAGGCUCGUAGCGGUUCUGACGUGCAAAUCGAUCGACGAA
rnacentral:rRNA from 1 species